GGCAAUCCAUUCUAUCUUUGAAAACACAAAUUGACCAAGUUCAUCACAGAUUCAUAUUCCAGUGUCAAGUCUGUUUAAAUUUGACGAAAAGGAUGCAUCAAUAUUACAUUUGAAUCGUCCCAGAGUCGGCCUUUUCCAAUAAACAGCAGCAGAAUCUAUUUGUGCCGCGGUCGCAUUAUGCAAAGCACCAAGUGGUAUCAGAGAUUUGAUACAGGCGAACCUGCAAAAUCUGAAAGGAUUUGCCGAGUCAUUGAAGGUCCAAUCAAGAAGCUUAAAAUUCUUUUCUAUUUCAACAUUAAUAAUGAAAUUGCAUUUAGGCCAACAAUUUAGGGGUUUGAGGCUCAAAUAUCAAAUUUUGCAUUCAAACUCAUCAUGAGACAUAUGCUCAAUUUCGCAUCUAAGGUAACCAAAAGCACACUACCAUCAUGCCAAUUUAUCACUAUUAAGAAAACAUCAUAGAGUCACUGUAUCAAGAGUGGUCUCAACAUGCAUAUCAAGUUAUGAAUAAAAAUUCAUAAUAAAAUUGAAUCUAGGGUCAUCAAAGGACAUAUGUUCAAUUUUCGCAUCUAAGGUCACUCAACGUGAAAUCAUCAUCCCAAUUUACUAUUACGAAAAAGCAUAGUAUAGCCAUCGUUUCAAGGGUCACAUAUUCAAGUUAGGGACACAGAGGGACAUAUCUUCAAGUUAGUCAUCUCGACUUGCAUUUAAAGUUAUGAAUAAGCAUUCACAUUGAAAUUCCAUUCAGACAAUCAAUCUAGGGACAUCAAGGGACAUAUACUCAAUUUCGCAUCAAAGGCACGAAGGCACACAACCCUCUUCACAAUAUACCGUAAUAAGAAAAUCAUUAUCAACUUGCAUUUUGAAUAAACAUUCAUAUUUCAAAUUACAUUUAGACCCUCAAAAUUUUCAUGUAUACCAUCCUGAUUUCAUAUGAAUAAAGAAUUCAUAUUGUAAGCCACAUAUUUGGUCAAAAAAUUCAUCUCAUUGGGUCAUCCAAACACAAUAUCCCAUGACUUGUCUUAAGAAUUUUUUUAGCAACAACACAAUUUCUUAGGCCAAAUUACCUUCUUAGGUAUGAAAAAUCAAGAUUCGCCAAUUUACCACACUCUUGGAUGAUACAAAAAACUACCCAAAACAACAGCUAUGUCAAACAAUAGUUUGAAGAAUCUGUUACUUCAUGAAAGACAAAAGUGAGUCAAAUCAAUUAAAAAAAAAUCCAAAAGAUACAGGAUAAAAUUUGAAACAAAGAUGUAGAAGUGAUAAAAAUCACAAGAACUCAAAGUGAUACAAGCAACACUGCUAAACUUGAAAGGGUUUGCAGAGUCAUUGAAGGUCCAAUCAAGAAGCUUAAAAUUCUUUUCUAUUUCUACAUUAAUAGCCAACAAUUAGGGGUUAUAAGGCUCAAAUAUAGAAUGCAGUCAUCAAGCGACAUAAACUCAAUUUCACAUAUAAGGUAACCAAAAGCACACUACCAUCAUGCCAAUUUAUCAUUAUUAGAAAAGCAUCAUAAAAGUCAUUCUAUCAAAGGUCGUCUCGACAUGCAUAUCAAAUUUUGAAGCUUAUGUAUAUAACUUCAAUCUAGUUUCUUGUGUUAUAUAGUUUAUUAACCCACAAAUCUUGCUGCAUUGCUGAAGAGCAAUCUAUUUUCUAUUUCAUUAUCAUGAAUCAUUUCCUGCUUUGAUUAGCAAACUCAAUUGUGUUAUAUAGUUUAUUAACCCACAAAUCUUGCUGCAUUGCUGAAGAGCAAUCUAUUUUCUAUUUCAUUAUCAUGAAUCAUUUCCUGCUUUGAUUAGAAAACUCAAUUGUGCUUUACAUUGCUUUUGAUAAAACAAAUAGAUGGCUAGCUAGUACUAAUUUACUUCUGUUAAUAGCUUUUAUCAAUGAGCACAGAGUAUAACUCAUUUUGGACUGGUUGUAGACUUCAUUUCUUUGUAGUCUCUUUGGAGAUUGAAAUGAAUGGUACUUUGGUUCUGGGAUCGGCUCAAUUUAUAUGGAACUAGGCAUCAGUUUUAAGGUUAAUUGCAAAUUUAUGAUUGUAAAAUUGCCAUUUCUGGUACUUAACGCCUGGUUUGCAAUCAUUGCAUAGAAAUGGAGUGAGUUUGGUAUAUUUUUAGAUAUACUGUUGAUUGCUAAGCGAUCAAGUGGCUGAAGUGUUUUGGAGGUUGUUAUCAACUUCUGCAUGCUAGUAAAGUUCUUUUCAUGGGAUUGACUCACUAAUUUGAAGGCCCUGACUCAGGGGAAUGGUCGACUAACAACUCAUGUUGUUCAUAUCUUCUGUUAUUGGCCUUUUUAAGCAAUCUAACCUUCAUCAUAAAAUAUCUGUUUAUAGCUUUUCCUAUUAAAGAAUUGAGUUUUGAAAUAUUAAAAGCUCUUAUAACCUGCUGUAGCAAGUCAAACUGGUGGUACACCAGUACACUGCAUCUAAAGUUCUGCUGCACCAUAUCCACGUAGGCGGUGACCUGGUUUUAUGAAAAUGUCACCAUAUCAAGUUUUGAAUAAAAAUUCAUAAUGAAAUUGAAUUUAGGCCAAAAAUAUAGAGUCAUCAAGGGACAAAUAUUCAAUUAUCGCAUCUAAGGUCACACAGCACAUAAUCAUCAUCCUAAUUUGCCAUUACUAAAAAGCAUACUAUAGUCAUUGCGUCAAGGGUCAUCUCCACUCACAUUUCAAGUUAUGACUAUGCAUUCACAUUGAAAUUACAGUCACUCAAACCAUCAACUUGGGUACAUCGAGGGACAUAUAUUCAAUAUAGGGACAUAGAGGGACAUGUAUUCAAUUUAGGGACAUCAAUGGGCUUAUAUACUAUUUUGCAUCCGUGGCGCCACGAGUCAUCUCCACUUACAUUUGUAGUUAUGAAUAAGCAUUCACAUUUAAAUUCCAUUCAGACCAUCAAUUUGGGACAUCGAGGGACAUAUACUCAAUUUCGUACCAAAGGCACCAAGGCACACAACCCUAUUCACAAUAUACUAAAAAUGUUCAUUUUCAGGCCAUCAAGGGACAUGCAUAUCAAUUUCAGACCAUCAAUUUAGGGACAUCUAGGGACAUAUUCAAGUUAGUGAAAUCGAGGGACAUAUGUUCGAUUUAGGGACAUUUGGGGACAUGUAUUCAAUAUAGGGACAUCGAUGGACAUAUAUACUAUUUAGCCUCUAUAGUUCCACAUGUCAUAUCCACUUACAUUUGAAGUUAUGAAUAAGCAUCCGCAUUGAAAUUCCAUUCAGGCCAUCAAUUUAGAGACAUGGACAGACAUAUAGUCGUCAUUUUAGGGACAUUGAGGGACAUAUAGCCAAUUUAGGGACAUCAAGGGACAUAUACUCAAUUUAGCAUCAAAGGCACCAAGGCACACAACCAUCUUGCCAAUGUAUCGCAACAAGAAAAUCGUUAUCAAGAUCCGACUUGCAUUUCGAAUAAACAUUCAUAUUUCAAAUUGCAUUUCAAAAUUUCCAUGCAUACCAUCCUGAUUCCAUAUGAAUAGUUUAAACNNNNNNNNNNNNNNNNNNNNNNNNNNNNNNNNNNNNNNNNNNNNNNNNNNNNNNNNNNAACAACAUUACAAGCAAAAGAAAUACAGAAAUCAAUUACAUGUGAAGUUAUAGCAACAUACUAACAUUGUGAAGGGGUAG
rnacentral:lncRNA from 1 species